rnacentral:lncRNA from 1 species
CAGCUAGUCAGGCAGGAACAAGGCAGGAGAAGCUCCACCCCCCCACACCAACCUGGACUGUCAGGCUAUCAGGUGAUGGUCAGGUGGUUGUUAACUGUCUCUCUAAAAUAAUAAUUGAUUGCAGCUGGCACCAGGGACAGGCAGGCUCCCUAUAGAUAGGAAAAACCUGAAACUGUUGAUCAGUAGCUUCUUGAUAAGCUCUCAGGAGUUGAGCGAUUGGGCUCAACGCAUGUGCAUUAGGAGGCAAAAUGGCAUAGUUUAACUGGUAUACGACCUCCUACGGACAUUUGGCUAAGGGAAGAAUGCCUCAAGUGAGCAUGCCUACAACUCCAGUAAACACUGCAUACUGUGUGUACUCCCCUCCCAAGCGCUGGCAGGCCACUGUGCAUGCAGACACCCCACCCCAAGGGAAGCAUCAGGGAAGAAGGGAAGCAAGAACCUAAAAGCACGCCAACAGAUUGUCUCAUCCUGGAUAAGAGAAAAUCCAUAAGAGUUGGCGUCUAUGGGCACCAGAAUCUCAACUGUAAUAAUAAGCCUGGCAUAUUCCUCAGAGUCAUCAAGGCAAGCUGGCUUCAGUUUUCUAUAUGCCUCAGCCCUUCUGAGCUGCAGACCUCUUUGGGGAUGAAGAAUAAGCAGACAUCCUUCAUUAUGAGACAGGUGGUGGGAUGGUUAAUAUUGAGUGUCAACAUGAUUGGAUUGAAGGAUGCAAAAUAUUUUUCCUGAGUGUGUCGGUGAGGACAUUGCCAAAGGUGAUUAACGUUGAAUUAGUGGACUGGGAGAGGCAGACCCACCCUCCAUAUAGGUGGGCAUCGUCUA